rnacentral:hammerhead_ribozyme from 1 species
GCACUGUUGAGGAGUUCCAUAAUAGGACGAAACGGUCGUUCAGUGC